AUCCUAACUUAUGUUUAUUAAAUUCAUAGAUACUGAUCCCACACCAGGAUAUGUUGAGUGCACCGGAAGGAGUCGCACCAUUUGUGACACCGCUAAAAAUGUUACUUGCAGAUCCAAAAAAGAGCACUACCACUAAUAACAUGCGCUAAUUUGUUUGCAACAACUGUACUUUAGCAGGACACCCGCGCUGUUUGUCUUAUGGCAUUGGAUUUUAAACCAACUAGACCCUAACAUGUAAGCGUGUAACACCGCACACAAGGUAUAAGCUAAGCAUUCACGUAAGUGGUUUUUUGCAUUUAAACUAUUCGUUUUUAAUUUUGUGUGCUUAAUUUGUGUUCAGAAAUAUGGAAUUAUUUGCACAUAAUGGGUGGACCGCACUUUAUUCUGAUUUCUUAUCUUUACAAUACAACACAGAAGUGCUGAGUAGGUGUCAUUGAUGCAUGGCGUUGUGUCAUAAAUGACAGGGAGAAAAUGAAAAAGAGGGACAGCCCUAAUCGGGUUUUUUUGCUUCUACCUACAUAACAAUAUGGAAGCAACUUAAAAGAAAUAGAGAGGGAGUAAAUCACAAGCUGGCAUGUAUCGACCACCAUCAUUGCAUGCAUUAUUUGAAGGCUCGGAAGAAGCAAGUACACACGUAAGGGCAACACCGCGUAAUGAAAUCUCUAAGCUAGGCAAUUGGUGGAUACUGAUUCUGAGCGUACUGUUCUUUAUCAGACAUUCAUCCUUCCUUCCUUCCUUCAUUCCUUGUUACUUUAUUUGUCAAACAUGACACUAUUUUUUGUCUGUAAAUAAUUUUGAUGUUUAAAUAUAGUCAUUUUUUAAAUUUAGUAUGUA